UACAGAGGGUGCGAGCGUUAAUCGGAAUUACUGGGCGUAAAGCGCGCGUAGGCGGCUUUGCAAGUCGAGUGUGAAAUCCCCAGGCUUAACCUGGGAACUGCAUUCGAGACUGCAUGGCUAGAGUAUGGGAGAGGGAAGUGGAAUUUCAGGUGUAGCGGUGAAAUGCGUAGAUAUCUGAAGGAACACCUGAGGUGAAGACGGGUUGCUGGGCUGACACUGACGCUGAGGCGCGACAGCAUGGGGAGCAAACGGG
rnacentral:rRNA from 1 species